rnacentral:pre_miRNA from 1 species
GAGAUACCCUUCUGGGGCAAGACUUGCUUCAGUGGGGCUUUGCUGCUCACUGAGUCUGCCCUCUGAGUGUGUCCCU